rnacentral:rRNA from 1 species
CCCUUAGAUGUUCCGGGCCGCACGCGAGUUACAAUGACAUGGACAACAAGUAUUAAAGGUCCUUGGCUGAGAAGUCUGGGUAACCUUAUAAAGCAUCAUGAUUGCUUUGGUGGUAUCCUCUUCUGAGGAAAUCACCUAUUGCUAAUUAGGGAUUGACCUUUGCAAUUGUAGGUCAUGAACCAGGAAUACCUAGUAGGCUUGCGUCAUCAACGCAAACCGAUUACGUCCCUGCCCUUUGUACACACCGCCCGUCGCUCCUACCAAUGAAUGGUCCGAUGAAGUACAUGGAGCUGUGCAAAGUAAAACUAGCUUGCUAGUUCCUUUGAAUGCAGCAAAGUGGGCUGAAUCUUGUCAUUUAGAGGAAGGAGAAGUCGUAACA